rnacentral:tRNA from 1 species
GGGGCAGUAGCUCAGCUGGGAGAGCGCCGCGUUCGCAACGCGGAGGUCGGGAGUUCGAUCCUCCUCUGCUCCACCA